rnacentral:rRNA from 1 species
GGGUUGUGAGGUUAAGCGACUAAGCGUACACGGUGGAUGCCCUGGCAGUCAGAGGCGAUGAAGGACGUGCUAAUCUGCGAAAAGCGUCGGUAAGGUGAUAUGAACCGUUACAGCCGGCGAUGUCCGAAUGGGGAAACCCAGUGUGAUUCGUCACACUAUCGUUAACUGAAUACAUAGGUUAACGAGGCGAACCGGGGGAACUGAAACAUCUAAGUACCCCGAGGAAAAGAAAUCAACCGAGAUUCCCCCAGUAGCGGCGAGCGAACGGGGAGCAGCCCAGAGUCUGAAUCAGCUUGUGUGUUAGUGGAACGGUCUGGAAAGUCCGACGGUACAGGGUGAUAGUCCCGUACACCAAAAUGCACAGGCUGUGAACUCGAAGAGUAGGGCGGGACACGUGGUAUCCUGUCUGAAUAUGGGGGGACCAUCCUCCAAGGCUAAAUACUCCUGACUGACCGAUAGUGAACCAGUACCGUGAGGGAAAGGCGAAAAGAACCCCGGCGAGGGGAGUGAAAAAGAACCUGAAACCGUGUACGUACAAGCAGUGGGAGCACCUUCGGGUGUGACUGCGUACCUUUUGUAUAAUGGGUCAGCGACUUAUAUUCUGUAGCAAGGUUAACCGUAUAGGGGAGCCGCAGGGAAACCGAGUCUUAACUGGGCGUUAAGUUGCAGGGUAUAGACCCGAAACCCGGUGAUCUAGCCAUGGGCAGGUUGAAGGUUGGGUAACACUAACUGGAGGACCGAACCGACUAAUGUUGAAAAAUUAGCGGAUGACUUGUGGCUGGGGGUGAAAGGCCAAUCAAACCGGGAGAUAGCUGGUUCUCCCCGAAAGCUAUUUAGGUAGCGCCUCGUGAACUCAUCUUCGGGGGUAGAGCACUGUUUCGGCUAGGGGGUCAUCCCGACUUACCAACCCGAUGCAAACUACGAAUACCGAAGAAUGUUAUCACGGGAGACACACGGCGGGUGCUAACGUCCGUCGUGAAGAGGGAAACAACCCAGACCGCCAGCUAAGGUCCCAAAGUCACAGUUAAGUGGGAAACGAUGUGGGAAGGCACAGACAGCCAGGAUGUUGGCUUAGAAGCAGCCAUCAUUUAAAGAAAGCGUAAUAGCUCACUGGUCGAGUCGGCCUGCGCGGAAGAUGUAACGGGGCUAAACUGUGCACCGAAGCUGCGGCAGCGACACUAUGUGUUGUUGGGUAGGGGAGCGUUCUGUAAGCCUGCGAAGGUGGCCUGUGAGGGUUGCUGGAGGUAUCAGAAGUGCGAAUGCUGACAUAAGUAACGAUAAUGCGGGUGAAAAGCCCGCACGCCGGAAGACCAAGGGUUCCUGUCCAACGUUAAUCGGGGCAGGGUGAGUCGACCCCUAAGGCGAGGCCGAAAGGCGUAGUCGAUGGGAAACAGGUUAAUAUUCCUGUACUUGGUGUUACUGCGAAGGGGGGACGGAGAAGGCUAUGUUAGCCGGGCGACGGUUGUCCCGGUUUAAGCAUGUAGGCGGAGGUUCCAGGUAAAUCCGGUACCUUUUAACGCUGAGGUGUGAUGACGAGGCACUACGGUGCUGAAGUAACAAAUGCCCUGCUUCCAGGAAAAGCCUCUAAGCAUCAGGUAACAUUAAAUCGUACCCCAAACCGACACAGGUGGUCAGGUAGAGAAUACCAAGGCGCUUGAGAGAACUCGGGUGAAGGAACUAGGCAAAAUGGUGCCGUAACUUCGGGAGAAGGCACGCUGAUAUGUAGGUGAAGCCCCUGCGGGUGGAGCUGAAAUCAGUCGAAGAUACCAGCUGGCUGCAACUGUUUAUUAAAAACACAGCACUGUGCAAACACGAAAGUGGACGUAUACGGUGUGACGCCUGCCCGGUGCCGGAAGGUUAAUUGAUGGGGUUAUCCGUAAGGAGAAGCUCUUGAUCGAAGCCCCGGUAAACGGCGGCCGUAACUAUAACGGUCCUAAGGUAGCGAAAUUCCUUGUCGGGUAAGUUCCGACCUGCACGAAUGGCGUAAUGAUGGCCAGGCUGUCUCCACCCGAGACUCAGUGAAAUUGAACUCGCUGUGAAGAUGCAGUGUACCCGCGGCAAGACGGAAAGACCCCGUGAACCUUUACUAUAGCUUGACACUGAACAUUGAGCCUUGAUGUGUAGGAUAGGUGGGAGGCUUUGAAGCGUGGACGCCAGUCUGCGUGGAGCCAACCUUGAAAUACCACCCUUUAAUGUUUGAUGUUCUAACGUUGGCCCCUAAUCGGGGUUGCGGACAGUGUCUGGUGGGUAGUUUGACUGGGGCGGUCUCCUCCCAAAGAGUAACGGAGGAGCACGAAGGUUAGCUAAUCCUGGUCGGACAUCAGGAGGUUAGUGCAAUGGCAUAAGCUAGCUUGACUGCGAGCGUGACGGCGCGAGCAGGUGCGAAAGCAGGUCAUAGUGAUCCGGUGGUUCUGAAUGGAAGGGCCAUCGCUCAACGGAUAAAAGGUACUCCGGGGAUAACAGGCUGAUACCGCCCAAGAGUUCAUAUCGACGGCGGUGUUUGGCACCUCGAUGUCGGCUCAUCACAUCCUGGGGCUGAAGUAGGUCCCAAGGGUAUGGCUGUUCGCCAUUUAAAGUGGUACGCGAGCUGGGUUUAGAACGUCGUGAGACAGUUCGGUCCCUAUCUGCCGUGGGCGCUGGAGAAUUGAGGGGGGCUGCUCCUAGUACGAGAGGACCGGAGUGGACGCAUCACUGGUGUUCGGGUUGUCAUGCCAAUGGCAUUGCCCGGUAGCUAAAUGCGGAAGAGAUAAGUGCUGAAAGCAUCUAAGCACGAAACUUGCCCCGAGAUGAGUUCUCCCUGAGACUUUAAGUCUCCUGAAGGAACGUUAAAGACGAUGACGUUGAUAGGUCGGGUGUGUAAGCGUAGCGAUACGUUGAGCUAACCGAUACUAAUGAACCGUGAGGCUUAACCUUACAACGCCGAAGGUGUUU